ACUGGUGCCCCAACACCCCGCGAUAACAUCUCAACAUAGUUGAGAACGCGCCCCAGGCCCGGAAAACCCCCGGUGAUGUUUGCUCACGCGGACCCGAAACUCUGCCCAGUAUUCCAAACAGCGUUCGCUGGGCCCCCCUUGAACUAUGACCUCCGACUGGGCACCAAGUUCAGAAUGAGGAUGCCUUUGCUGCUUCAGAGCCAUGCUCGGCAGGAGAGGGGCCCCACUCACUAACCCCUACCCUGAGAGUCGGGACCUCGCCCCCGGUACCCGCAUCCUGUGUGCAGCACAAUUGGUUUGCAUGCCAGUGGCACUUGGCAGAACCUUGUGGAACUUGGUUCUAAAACCCGGCGCUUCUGUCUUGGGUGCCUCUUGCCUCCUGCCUCUUUCUGUCUCUUGGAGCCCAGCAGCCACGUGAAGAGGCACCACACGGAGGAGAGAGACCCUGGAGGACAAGAGGUCACCCGGAGCAGAACUGAAGCCCCAACUAGGGCUUCCGACCAUGGAGCCUGGCAGGGACCGCAGGAGGGAGCCCCGAACCAGAACUGCCCAGGUUUAUUUACUUUGAGAGAGAGAGAGAGAGAGAGAGAGAGAGAAUCCCAAGCAGUCUCCGCCCUGUCAGGAUACAGCCCGACUCGAACCGUGAGAUCAUGACCUGACCUGAAAUUAGGAGUCUGAUGCUUAACUGACUGAGCCACCCAGGUGCUCCCCCAACUUUCCUCUUUUUAAAAAGACACUAGUCACAUUGGGUCGGGGCCCACCCUAGUGACCUCGUCUUAACGGGGUGCGUCUGCAAUGACACUAUUUCCAAAUAAGGUCACACAUUCUGAGGUUCUGGGGCCCAGGCCUCCAACAUGUGAAUUUUUGAGGGACGUGAUUCAGCCAUCACUGUGGCAAAGUCAUUCGGUGAACCUUCAGGCCAUCAGGCUUACUCUAGGAAGGAAAGCCCGAAACGCUUCUCCACCUCUUAUGUUUGGGACCCAACAACGUGGCUUGCGCUGGCCGUUUCCUGAGGGAACGCACACAGAUUUAUUCUUCCUUUUUCAUAAAUGCUUCCUGGGCAGAGGGCGCUAUGUGAGGUCUUGGGAGCCUGGCAGUGAACGGGAGGAACAGAAUUCUUGCUCUCGCGGAGCUUACGUCUGGGGUGGACAGAGAGGCAGACAGAAGGAGUUAAACAGAAAAGGGGAGAAUGAGAAUCGCCACGGGUCGGCUUUUGCUCCCCCGUCACUGCUGAGCGCCCUUCCCCACUUUCCCCGGGGCCUCCUCUGUGAGCAGCUGGGCUCAGCGAUGGGGCGACAAUCCUCAGUGGGGGCUCGUCUCAUCCAGGGGACCCCACACCUCCGCGUCCCAGGGGUGAGAGGAGACGUUGCCCCUGGCAGUAGCUGCUGGCAGAAGUGGGGGCAGGUGGCACAUGUGAGGUUAGCGGGGCCUUCCCCGUGAGCCCCCACAAGGCACCCGCCUCUCGGACCGUUCCCCCUUGGCUGCUGCAUGAGACACCCCAGCCUUGGUCCCCUGCGUCCAGACCUUCCCACCGGAGGCUUCUCUGGAGGCUUCUCGACGUGGCCGAGCCACAGAGCCCACCGCAGGGAACCCCAGGCGACCAUUCGAAAGACAGCGGCCAGAGAGGAGGCAUCUGCCCGCCACGUGCCUACGGCACCACAUGACGCCGCAAACGUUACACAAUUCUGCCAACGUUGUGACUUCAGGUAGGCUAAAGCCGAGCCUGAGGCGCCCUGGAAUCCAUCAAAAUGUUAACGGCGGGGUGAUAGUUAAUAUUUGCUUCCACGCUGUGACCUACUUCUCUGUCUCUUGGAAAGUUUGAUGCACAAUUAUUGCUCAAGUAAUGGAAAAGACACCCUGGUGAAUACAAGAAGGACAUGAAUGCCAGCCUCUUCCUCCCCCGCCCCAACCCCCCACCGCCGACGCUCUUAUUUUGAGCACGUGCUUCUCACUCCUGUUCCAGCCAGAAUUUUCUGCCGGGAAAACAAGCAGGCAUCUGCUCCGAGCAGGGGGGGAGCCUGAGACCCUCCCCUCCCCCGCCCCCCACCAGCCAGGGAAGCAGCAGCCGGCAGAGUCAAGAUUGCUGGGCAGGGACGCUGUCUCGAGGUUUUCCAUCUGGUGCUUGAUAUUUCGGGGAAAUGUGUGAGGGGAGGCGGUGGCCAAAAAACAGAGAAGGGCACAGGUGACGAGGAAGCCGAGGAAGACGAGGCCCUGAUGACGGGAGGAAGGAGAAACAGCGUUGGGGCGAGCAGGCAUUUCCUGGACCCGUGUCGUGUCUCCCACUUGGGUCAGGGGACCGAGGGCCUUGCUUCUGCAGAGGUCAGUGGUGCAAGUCAGGAAGACCUUCGAAGGGUGGCAAGUCCAGCCUUCCGUGCUGUGCAGGGGGAGCAGGGGCGGGGGAGGAUCCCCGCAAAGUCUGCAAACGCUGCUCGCUCCUGGGGGAUACCUGUCCUCACGGGUCCUCCGGUGCUGGGCUGUGCCCCUGUCGGGGAGCUACGUGGGGUGUGUGGUUCGUGGGGUGAGGGUCCCGUGUCCCAUCCCUGCCCAGUGUCCCAAGCGGAUAUGCAGGUAGCUUGCUAUGCAGAGACCCCGAGAGCGUGCCUCCCCCCUCCCCACUGCUGAACUGACCCUGGGGUGGAGCCGUCCCCUCCGAAGACACAUUCCGCACAGUGACUUGCAGCCUCGCGGUGGCCGUGGGGCUGGUCCUAUCCAGUCGAACCUGCACGGAGGCCUUGCCCUUUCUGGGCUGGCGUGCCCCCCCCCGCCCAGUUCUCCCAGGCUGAGGGCAGCGCAUCCUUAGGGGUGGAGCCACAAGACAGAAGGAGUCUGGUUCUGCCAGUCACCUUGCGGUCCACUCGGACAGGACGAACAUGAAGCUUUGACGUGGGCCAGAAACCAGCCAGAGAGGAAAGGCAACAUCAGUCAGAACUUGGGGUCCACUUGGCCACCAGAUCAAGGGACUCGGCUCCUGCUGGACACACGUGAUGAAGAUGUAAACGUUCUCCCUGACGCCCAAACACCCAAGCCCCUCUUUGUAGCCAGUUAGCAACCUGUCGCCCAUGAUACGUCCACACUGUGCAGCAUCCGGGGAGGCCCCAAGCCUGGAAGGGUGCGGGAGGGGCAGACCUGGGCUGGUCACGCACCUCAGCUGAUGCUCAGGGGUCAGAAACACAUUUUCCAGAGCUCCUGUCAAGCCCGGAUGCCCAGAACCCUCCCCGUCUCUCCUGCAAAGCUCUGGCAGAUCCGUCUUCAUAGCUGGGAUCAUCCUCAGAGCCUGUGCUGGUGGCCUUUAAGGAAGACAGGGCUGGAGGGUGAGCUCAGAGCCAGGCUGGCCUGUAGGGAGAGAUUUGUCGGGUGGUUGGCGGUGAUGAGAACUCACUGUGCCAGCUAGAAGUGCAGGAGGGAGAGGACAAAAGGAGGGCUUGCCCUUUCCCCAGUGAGCCUGUCACCACGGAGAGGGGCAGCCGGUGAGCGCCAAGGGGAGAGAGAGGGACGCGGGCCAAGGGAGCGGCCAGAGGUGUGCAGGGACGCAGGCACAGACAGAGCUGGCUCCCGGGCCAUGAGAGUGCCUGGCCUCCGUCUGAUAAGGUGGGUCACGUGCCUGAGCGACUGGCAUCCGUUUCCUUAUCCUGGAUGGUUUCACUCUGGUCAGUGAACUGAAACCUGAGUGUCUGCCUCCGAGGAUGUGCUGGGCUGCUGGCUGCAGGGUGGGUCCAGGUGCCCAUGUACACACACACACACACACACGCACGCACCCACGUGCCCUGGCUUGCACACAGAGCUGUUCCAACAAUUGUCCACGAGAACGUGAUCUUGCUUGGAAUGAACUGAAAUCAGGAUCCGGAGGAGGAAUCUGCACCCCUACACUCCCUGCAGCGCGCAAGCUGAGACACAGAGGUAGCCUGAGCAUCCGCUGACAAAUGAAUGGACAAAGAGGGAGGGACGUGUACACACAGGGGAUGUUAUGCAGCCCUCAAAUGAAGGAAAGUCUGUCAUCUGCGACAAGGCGGAGGAACCCGAAAGACAUUGCGCCAAGUCCCAGCGACUCGGGUGGGAAAUGAGGGUGAUCCUGUCCAACAGGCACAAAGUUUCGGUUCUGCCAGAUGAGCCAUUCUGGAAUCUGCCGGACAACCUUGUGUUUGCAUGUAGCUAACAGAGUGGCUUGUGCCCUUCAAAAGUGGUCCGAGGGUAGACCCCACGUUACGUGUUCUUAUCACACUAAUCAAUAAGCAAGUUAGUAAGUAAGUAAAUGCUUUGUAGCGAGAGCUGUUUGGAGGACAUUAUUAGGCACCUGCUGUGUCCCAGGGGCUCAAGGAGACUCCGCAUGCUUCAGCCCAGGCCGCAAGCCUAUUUCACAGAGGAACGAGGGUGCCUGUGUCACAUGGCUGGCGAACUGUGGAGCCUUGAUUCCAGACCACGCCCUUGUCUCCUGUACAUUCCCCCCUGGCCAAGCCCCCGUCAGAGACAGAGUUCUUUGUGAGUGAAGGUACUUUGCAAACCCAUCUGUGCUCAAAGACGGGCCAACGUCAACUUCUUGUGAUGGUGACAGCCAAGGUAGGCGGUGGUCCUCUACCUCUCGCUGCCGGGAUUUUUAACGCCAGCUGGGGAACGUGACCUUGUCGCUGCCCUUAGGACUCUCCCGGCUAAAGGCAUCCCUGUCUUCAACGACGAGGGCCAGCCCGGACUACCCGCCGGAGCAUGCGAGGCAAGCGGCCCAGGCACCCCAUCACCCCAGCCGACAGCCAGCCGACCCUGAGCAGCACGGCCACCCAGCCGAUCUGCGGAAACACGAGAAUCCGGGGAAAACCCAGGAGAGCCGCCCAGCAGAGCCCAGCCUAAGCCGCUCGCUAACCUGCGGACUUGGAACACCACCAGCCUGGCCCCUUGCCGCUUCGUGGGGCUGCACAAACAGUUCUAACCAGUCGCUUCUGAGACAAGGCAGCACACCCUGACAACUGGAGGCAUCGUUAGACCCAACCUUGUGGCCACUGAGGGCCACCUCAAGAUCAAGACCAAGAUGCCCAGCUCUGGAUGAGCUCGGCCUCGCUCUCUGGCCCACAUGAAGGUUGACUGACUCCGCCUGUGCAAGGGAACACGUGUGGGUCCCUGGGCCGGCGCUGAUGUGCUCUACCCCGAAGCUGGGUUUGGUUUCCAGACGAUGUCUAGAGCGCUCGUCUUGCUCUGGAAGUGGAAUGUGCUGGAUACGAGCCCUGUCGCACUGGGGGGCCGUACGUGAAGCGUGGUGCCCGCGUCUGCAUUCAAAAGGGUUAGAAGCGGAGGCCGGAUGCCUUCUAAAGGCUUCUACAGGGAAGGGCAGCCAGUGGGGCAGAUUCAGUGGAACCAGCCAGCGGAGGAGCUGGCCUCCUCCCCGCGGGGUCUGACGGCAGUGACUCCAAGAGCAGAUAUCACUGUCACCACGGCUUGAGAGACCCACACUGCGCCCCAACGUGGGACAUUGCACAUCCGGUUGACUUGAAAUGACCCCUGCGAGCACGGGCGUGGGGAGAGGGGUGUGGAGGGCACCCGGCACUGGGUGGUCACACCAUUCCAUCACACUUGCCCCCCUCUGGCCCCUUCCCGACCCCAAAUCUCUCCUGGGCUAGGGUAAAAAUUCCUUAAUGCCCCUCUCAGACAGGGGCUGCUCUCCUGCCUCAUCCCUACACCCCCCUGCUGCCCGCAGUGAACACCUACCCCUUCUCCAUCGGACAAACUUCUCUGUGACCAGGCAGGUGUAGGGCACAUGUGAUAUGUCCUUCCCUGAGAGUCACUACCUCAAUGGCUUUCAAACAACGAUUUUGGAAAUCUGUUUGACUUGACAGACUGACUUGAUAGCUUGGUUUAGGAGAAGGGCAAUAUUCAU